rnacentral:rRNA from 1 species
UGGGGAAUAUUGGACAAUGGGCGAAAGCCUGAUCCAGCAAUGCCGCGUGAGUGAAGAAGGCCUUAGGGUUGUAAAGCUCUUUCACUGAUGAAGAUGAUGACGGUAAUCAGGGAAGAAGCCCCGGCUAACUCCGUGCCAGCAGCCGCGGUAAUACGGAGGGGGCUAGCGUUGUUCGGAAUUACUGGGCGUAAAGCGCACGUAGGCGGCGUGUCAAGUCAGGGGUGAAAGGCCUGGGCUCAACCCGGGAACGGCCUUUGAUACUGGCGUGCUUGAGUACGGGAGAGGGCAGUGGAAUUCCCAGUGUAGAGGUGAAAUUCGUAGAUAUUGGGAAGAACACCGGUGGCGAAGGCGGCUGCCUGGCCCGGUACUGACGCUGAGGUGCGAAAGCGUGGGGAGCAAACAGGAUUAGAUACCCCCGUAGUCC